GUACACUCCUACGGGAGGCAGCAGUGGGGAAUAUUGCACAAUGGGCGCAAGCCUGAUGCAGCCAUGCCGCGUGUAUGAAGAAGGCCUUCGGGUUGUAAAGUACUUUCAGCGGGGAGGAAGGCAAUACGGUUAAUAACCGUGUUGAUUGACGUUACCCGCAGAAGAAGCACCGGCUAACUCCGUGCCAGCAGCCGCGGUAAUACGGAGGGUGCAAGCGUUAAUCGGAAUUACUGGGCGUAAAGCGCACGCAGGCGGUCUGUCAAGUCGGAUGUGAAAUCCCCGGGCUCAACCUGGGAACUGCAUUCGAAACUGGCAGGCUUGAGUCUUGUAGAGGGGGGUAGAAUUCCAGGUGUAGCGGUGAAAUGCGUAGAGAUCUGGAGGAAUACCGGUGGCGAAGGCGGCCCCCUGGACAAAGACUGACGCUCAGGUGCGAAAGCGUGGGGAGCAAACAGGAUUAGAAACCCCGGUAGUCCCAUGAU
rnacentral:rRNA from 1 species